AACGGCGAAGUGAAGCGGCAAAAGCUCAAAUUUGAAAUCUGGCUCCAUGCGGAGCCCGAGUUGUAAUUUGGAGAGGACACUUCGGGUGCGGCCACGGCAUAAGUUCCUUGGAACAGGACGUCAUAGAGGGUGAGAAUCCCGUCUUUGGCUGCUGGACCGCGCCCAUGCGAAGUUCCUUCGACGAGUCGAGUUGUUUGGGAAUGCAGCUCUAAGUGGGUGGUAAAUUUCAUCUAAAGCUAAAUAUUGGCCGGAGACCGAUAGCGCACAAGUAGAGUGAUCGAAAGGUUAAAAGCACCUUGAAAAGGGAGUUAAAUAGCACGUGAAAUUGUUGAAAGGGAAGCGCUUGCAACCAGACUCGGUCGUGGGGGCUCAGCGGGCAUGCGUGCCCGUGUACUCCCCCAUGCUCCGGGCCAGCAUCAGUUCUGGCGGUUGGUUAAAGGCCUCUGGAAUGUAUCGUCCUCCGGGACGUCUUAUAGCCAGGGGCGCAAUGCGGCCAGCCGGGACUGAGGAACGCGCUUCGGCACGGAUGCUGGCAUAAUGGUUGUAAGCGGCCCGUCUUGAAACACGGACCAAGGAGUCUAACAUCCACGCGAGUGUUCGGGUGUCAAACCCGUGCGCGCAGUGAAAGCGAACGGAGGUGGGAGCCCGCAAGGGUGCACCAUCGACCGAUCCUGAAGUCUUCGGAUGGAUUUGAGUAAGAGCGUGGCUGUUGGGACCCGAAAGAUGGUGAACUAUGCCUGAAUAGGGGUGAAGCCAGAGGAAAACUCUGGUGGAGGCUCGCAGCGGUUUCUGACGUGCAAAUCGAUCGUCAAAUUU
rnacentral:rRNA from 1 species